rnacentral:rRNA from 1 species
UACGUAGGGUGCAAGCGUUGUCCGGAAUUAUUGGGCGUAAAGAGCUCGUAGGCGGUCUGUCGCGUCGGCUGUGAAAACCCGGAGCUCAACUCCGGGCCUGCAGUCGAUACGGGCAAACUGGAGUACUGCAGGGGAGACUGGAAUUCCUGGUGUAGCGGUGAAAUGCGCAGAUAUCAGGAGGAACACCGGUGGCGAAGGCGGGUCUCUGGGGCCGAAGUAACUGACGCUGGAGGAGCGAAAGCGUGGGGAGCGAACAGGAUUAGAACCUACCCGUGUC